rnacentral:rRNA from 1 species
AUGGUAGCACAUGAGUUUAUUAUUAAAAAUGAUGAUAAGAUGCUUUUGUAUAAUUUGAGAUUUCAUAAGAAACACAAUGAGACUAUUAUCUUGCCUGCGCCUUCUUUGUUUGAUUUAACCGCAGGCCCUUAUCUUGUCUUGCCGGAAGCCGUCUAUGCGCUCCGUGGCCAGACAUCAGCUCCAGAGCCUGAGCCGGAACCACCACUUGACCCUUAUCGACCAUCUAGUUGUCAGUGGGAUCCGGAGGAGAUCGCCAGCCAGUGGCAGUCUGAUGACACAUCUCAAUAUGACCCCAGUUACAACUUCGGAUAUCAGCCAGGCUACCCAUGGCCAUAG